rnacentral:rRNA from 1 species
UACAGAGGGGGCAAGCGUUGUUCGGAAUUACUGGGCGUAAAGGGCGCGUAGGCGGCCUGCUAAGUCGAACGUGAAAUCCCCGAGCUCAACUCGGGAACUGCGUCCGAUACUGGCAGGCUUGAAUCCGGGAGAGGGAUGCGGAAUUCCAGGUGUAGCGGUGAAAUGCGUAGAUAUCGGGAGGAACACCGGUGGCGAAGGCGGCGACCUGGGUCGAGACUGACGCUGAGGCGCGAAAGCGUGGGGAGCAAACAGG